GCAAACUUGGUCAUUUAGAGGAAGUAAAAGUCGUAACAAGGUUUCCGUAGGUGAACCUGCGGAAGGAUCAUUAACAGGAAACGGGUCCUCGCGACCCGGUUCUCAAACCACUGUGUAUACAACUAUCCGUUGCCUCGGCGGGCCGGGCCUUUCGGGGCCCCUCCCCCCUAAACAGGGGAGCAGCCUGCCCGCCGCAGGAACAUUACAAACCGUUUUGUGUGACGAACGUCUGAAAACUUCUUCGCGAAUGCGAUAAAAUACAACUUUCAACAAUGGAUCUCUUGGCUCCGGCAUCGAUGAAGAACGCAGC
rnacentral:misc_RNA from 1 species